UGUAUUUAAAAAAGAAAAAGAAAAAAAAGAAAUUGCAACAGUGAAGAAAAAUGAAUUAUAAAAAAGAAAAAAAGGUGAACAAGGUGGAUUAUUGAUGGGUAGGAUCCGUGAUUGGAGCUUGAAUAAUGUCGUUCUUUAGUUUGACAAGUUUAGACACCAACUUAGAUUUGAAUAAGAAGGCCUGAUGUUCAAGAUUGAACAAACGGUCAAUAUCCUUCUUGGCUGCGUCCUGAAAAGAUGGGUUAAAUAGUUUUACAUCAAGCUCUUUACUUUCAAAAAAAUCUUCAUAAUAAUUCCUUCUGCAUACCUCCAACACUUUAGAGAUAGAAGCCCUUUCAGUUUCAUCAACUUUACCCCAAACUUCAUUUGAUAACUCAAAACCCUCGUCUCUCUUGUUAUUAAAAUCAUCAUCAUCCUCCAUUUUCACAUUUCGUUUUCUCAUUUUUCUCAACUCUAAUUUCUGCUUCAAAUAUUCCCUUUUCAGUUCUUGAAUCUUCUCAAAUAUUUGGGUCCUGGACACCUCCGCCAAUGACCCAUUUCUCAAGAACGGAUAAAAUUCCUCCCGACUAAUGUUCUUCGUAUUGAACUCGACCAGCUUCUUCAGUAGAUUUAGCUCUUCCCCUUUACUCCAUUCAAACAAACUCUUCCUCCUUUUCUUCUUUCCUGAUCCCGUUGACCUCUUUCUUCCCUCCUUCCCCUCUUCCAUAUCGUCAAUCUCACCCUACUCAAAUCUCUAAACAUCGAGUCACAAUAAAUUGCAUAAUAUCAAGACAUUGAGUAACGUUGAUAUAUUUGUGUGUGUGCGCGUGUGUUACAUAUUUCAACAUCACCCAUAGUCUACUUUUGAGGUCCAUUAGGAGAUAGAAAAUUGCUUAUUCUCUCUUAAAAUUGCCUUUUUUUCUUUUCUUGCAGAAGCAAUGGUUUAUAAAUUGAAGUAUAAAAAAUGGAGCAUUAGGUGUCACAUCGGGUUUACCCAGAUCUACUACACGUGUGACGAAACGAACCCUAUGAUGAGUAGCAAUAAGACUGUUGUACACAGACGUGCGAUUGCGACCCACAGGAAAGUGACGCAGCUGUGUCAGCACCCACAAGAAGACCCGUGACGGCGGAGGCGAUGAACAGCUGAGAGCACUCACUAUUCAUUCAGUAAAAGGAGAAGUGGAUUUGGGAACCUUUUUAUAAAAGAAUGUGAUUUAAAAAAGUAGGUAAAAAAUAACUAUGGAAAAAAAAUAAAUUUGGGCAAGUUGAAGGCCACGACUUCGAUGGCUGUGUGGGUCCUGCACUUUUUUUCAUUCAUUAUUUAUAUAUAAUUUAUAUUAUAUGUGGGCCUACGUCUUGUUCUUUUUCAUUAUUUUAUAUAUAUAUAAUCUCGGUUCUAAAAAUAUCAUUACUUAUUAAAAUUAUUAUCAACUUUUCAAUUUUAUUUAUUUUUUCUUUUUUUAUAUAUUAAAUAUCUUAA
rnacentral:lncRNA from 1 species